rnacentral:lncRNA from 1 species
CCAUGGUGAUUUGUAAGCAACUCACUGUACUUUGUAUCAGACCAUCUGAGUUUCUAACUCAAUGAUGGAAGAUUACUAAGUGCAGUUAAGUACUUAUCAAGUUGGUGUGUGAGUCAAGAUAAAAUUGAUCCCUCUGAAUUAGUAAGAAAUAUGCAUCAGUGUAUUUCAAUUCAGUAAAACUUUGACCAGAAUAAUCCAUGAGAUAGAUUUGAAAAGUUGAAAUACAAUAUGAUUGACUAAAUUAGGGUUGACAGUUAGAUGUUAGAUUUCCUUGAGCAUUUGGGUCAAAGAGAUGAAUUAUACGAUAACCAUAUGCC